rnacentral:rRNA from 1 species
GAACGAGAUCUCUUGAAUGGAACCUUCGGGCGAAGUUCAGGAGUGAAAGUGGCGAACGGGUGAGUAACACGUGGGCAAUCUGCCCCCAAGCCUGGGAUAGCCCCCCGAAAGGGGGAUUAAUACCGGAUGGUAUCGCCUGCCGCAUGGCAGGCCGUUUAAAGGUGGGGAUCCUUCGGGACCUGCCGCUUGAGGAUGAGCCCGCGGCCUAUCAGCUUGUUGGUGAGGUAACGGCCCACCAAGGCAAAGACGGGUAGCUGGUCUGAGAGGAUGACCAGUCACACUGGGACUGAGACACUGCCCAGACUCCUAUGGGAGGCUGCAGUCGAGAAUCA